rnacentral:rRNA from 1 species
GAUGAACGCUGGCGGCGUGCCUAAUACAUGCAAGUCGAGCGAACGGACGAGAAGCUUGCUUCUCUGAUGUUAGCGGCGGACGGGUGAGUAACACGUGGAUAACCUACCUAUAAGACUGGGAUAACUUCGGGAAACCGGAGCUAAUACCGGAUAAUAUUUUGAACCGCAUGGUUCAAAAGUGAAAGACGGUCUUGCUGUCACUUAUAGAUGGAUCCGCGCUGCAUUAGCUAGUUGGUAAGGUAACGGCUUACCAAGGCAACGAUGCAUAGCCGACCUGAGAGGGUGAUCGGCCACACUGGAACUGAGACACGGUCCAGACUCCUACGGGAGGCAGCAGUAGGGAAUCUUCCGCAAUGGGCGAAAGCCUGACGGAGCAACGCCGCGUGAGUGAUGAAGGUCUUCGGAUCGUAAAACUCUGUUAUUAGGGAAGUACAUAUGUGUAAGUAACUGUGCACAUCUUGACGGUACCUAAUCAGAAAGCCACAGCUAACUACGUG